rnacentral:rRNA from 1 species
CCUACGGGAGGCAGCAGUGAGGAAUAUUGGUCAAUGGGCGCAAGCCUGAACCAGCCAAGUCGCGUGAGGGAUGACGGUCCUAUGGAUUGUAAACCUCUUUUGUCGGGGAGCAAGGCCCGCCACGUGUGGCGGGAAGGAGAGGACCCGAAGAAAAAGCAGCGGCUAACUCCGUGCCAGCAGCCGCGGGAAUACGGAGGAUGCGAGCGUUAGCCGGAUUGAUUGGGUUUAAAGGGUGCGGAGGCGGAAGGUUAAGUCAGCGGUAAAAUUGAGCGGCUCAACCUCUUCGCGCCGUUGAAACUGGUUUUCUUGUGUGAGUGAGAAGUAUGCGUCUUGCGUUGUGUCGCGGUGAACUGCAUAGCUAUCACGCAGAACUCCGAUUGCGCAGGCAGCAUACCGGCGCUCACCUGACGCUCAUGCACGAAAGUGUGGGUAUCGAACAGGAUUAGAUCCCCCAGUAGUC